AGCAGCCGCAGUAAUUUCAGCUCGAAUAGCGUAUAAAGUUGUUGCAGUUAAAAAGCUCAUAGUUGAAUUUUGGGGUUAGUAAGUUGGUCGUGCCUUCAGUAUGUACUGACUUUACUGAUUUCUCUUCUUGACGAACCAUGAUGUCAUUAAUUUGGUGUUGCGGGAAAUCAGAACUGUUAAUUUGAAAAAAUUAGAGUGUUUAAAGCAGGCUAACGCUUGAAUACAUUAGCAUAGAAUAAUGAAGUAGGACGUUAAUCCUAUUUUGUUGGUUUCUAGGAUUGACAUAAUGAUUAAUAGGGAUAGUUGGGCAUUAGUAUUCAAUUGUCAGAUGUGAAAUUCUUGGAUUUAUUGAAGACUAACUACUGCGAAAGCAUUUACCAAGGAUGUUUUCAUUAAUCAAGAACGAAAGUUAGAGGAUCAAAAUGAUCAGAUACCAUCGUAGUCUUAACCAUAAACUAUGCCGACUAGAGAUCAGAUGAUGUUUAAUUUUUUAAUUAGUACUCU
rnacentral:rRNA from 1 species